rnacentral:rRNA from 1 species
ACGGGAUCCUUUGGACACGUCUAAAGGUGAGAGUGGCGAACGGGUGAGUAACACGUUGGUGACCUGCCCCAGAGAGGGGGAUAACCACUGGAAACGGUGGCUAAUACCCCAGAUGUCGUUGUUGUUAGAGAGCAAUGACUAAAGCUCCGGCGCUCUGGGAGGGGCCUGCGGCCCAUCAGCUAGUUGGUAAGGUAACGGCUUACCAAGGCAAAGACGGGUAGGGGGCGUGAGAGCGUGACCCCCCACACUGGUACUGACACACGGACCAGAUACCUACGGGUAGCAGCAGCAAGGAAUAUUGCCCAAUGGACGCAAGUCUGAGGCAGCAACGCCGCGUGGAGGAAGAAGGCCCUCGGGUUGUAAACUCCUUUUCUGGGGGAAGAGAAAGGACGGUACCCCAGGAAUAAGUCUCGGCUAACUACGUGCCAGCAGCCGCGGUAAAACGUAGGAGGCGAGCGUUAUCCGGAUUUACUGGGCGUAAAGCGCGUGCAGGCGGUUUUCUAAGUCGGACGUGAAAGCUCCCGGCUCAACUGGGAGAGGUCGUUCGAAACUAGGAAACUUGAGGGUGGUAGAGGAGAGUGGAAUUCCCGGUGUAGUGGUGAAAUGCGUAGAUAUCGGGAGGAACACCAGUGGCGAAGGCGGCUCUCUGGGCCAUUCCUGACGCUAAGACGCGAAAGCUAGGGGAGAGAACGGGAUUAGAAACCCCGGUAUUCCUAGCCGUAAACGAUGUCAACUAGGUGUAGGGGGUAUCCAACCCCCCUGUGCUGUAGCUAACGCGUUAAGUUGACCGCCUGGGGACUACGGCCGCAAGGCUAAAACUCAAAGGAAUUGACGGGGACCCGCACAAGCAGCGGAGCGUGUGGUUUAAUUCGAGGCUACGCGAAGAA